rnacentral:miRNA from 1 species
UCGCACAGUUUGAUCAAUCGG